rnacentral:rRNA from 1 species
ACCAGUUGUGCCGCCAGGUGCAUCGCUGGGUAUCUAAGUCGGGAUUGGAUAAGUGCUGAAAGCAUCUAAGUACGAAGCCAGCCACAAGAUUAGAUUUCUUAGGGUCGUCAAAGACGAUGACGUUGAUAGGAUGCAGGUGUACAGGUGGUAACAUCAUAGCCGAGCAUUACUAAUUGCCCGUUCACUUUCUUUC